UACGUAGGGUGCGAGCGUUAAUCGGAAUUACUGGGCGUAAAGCGUGCGCAGGCGGCUUUGCAAGACAGAUGUGAAAUCCCCGGGCUCAACCUGGGAACUGCAUUUGUGACUGCAAGGCUAGAGUACGGCAGAUGGGGAUGGAAUUCCGCGUGUAGCAGUGAAAUGCGUAGAUAUGCGGAGGAACACCAAUGGCGAAGGCAAUCCCCUGGGCCUGUACUGACGCUCAUGCACGAAAGCGUGGGGAGCAAACAGG
rnacentral:rRNA from 1 species